rnacentral:rRNA from 1 species
CCUACGGGUGGCAGCAGUGGGGAAUAUUGGACAAUGGGGGAAACCCUGAUCCAGCGACGCCGCGUGAGUGAAGAAGUAUUUCGGUACGUAAAGCUCUAUCAGCAGGAAAGAAAAUGACGGUACCUGACUAAGAAGCCCCGGCUAACUACGUGCCAGCAGCCGCGGUAAUACGUAGGGGGCAAGCGUUAUCCGGAUGUACUGGGGGUAAAGGGAGCGUAGACGGCAGCGCAAGUCUGGAGUGAAAUGCCGGGGCCCAACCCCGGACGUGCACUGGAAACUGGUAAGCUGGAGUGCAGGAGAGGUAAGCGGAAUUCGUGGUGUAGCGGUGAAAUGCGUAGAUAUCAGGCAGAACACCGGCGGCGAAGGCAGCUUACUGG